UCUAAAAAAAAGAAAAAAAAGGGAGAGGCGAGAGCAAAAUAAAUGGCGGCGGCGGGUGGAGAUGGCGCGGCGCGGCGAGCGACGGCCGGAGAUGGCGCGGCGCGCGACGGCGCGGCUGGUCGCGGGGUCGCGGCGCGUGGCGGAGGGCCGGGCGCCGCCGCGGCUGGUGGUGGGGGGGCGGGCGACGGCGCGGCGCGUGGCGGGGGCGGCCUGCCGUGGCUCGAUGGAAGGGAGGGCGUCCCGUGGCUGUACCUACUCUCAACCGCGAAGGAUAUGAGCGUUAAUCUUGCAAUAGGAAGGCUCGUGACCAUCGGCAUCGUCAACAGUGUCACCUCAGUUGCCCAAAGGGCAGAAGACUUCUUCCACGGCAAGAUCCCUAUGGUUACCAAAGAUGGCCAAGAUCUCAGGCCUUCUCUCGAGGUAUUCAUCAGCUGGUGCAUCACAGACAUCAAGCAGAAGAUCCACACAAGCUUUGAGCCAUCCUCCAGUAUCAGGCCUCUCAGGAAGGUAUCGAUUGCUAUCAACCAUCUCAUUGCCGCUCAUCCUGACACUCUACUGCUCCAGUCACUGUUUGCCGGUCCAAGGGAUGAGCUGGGGGAGCUUAUCAUCCUGCUAUCAGCUGAACUAUACGGCCUGCUCUUCAAUAUCACAAGAGGAGCCGGGGGUAUAUGUACGUAGUCUCUCGGGACCUCCCCAUCGAUCCCAAAGACUUUCAUCUGAAUAUGCAUCAGAGUUUGGGCAAGGCUCGUAGUUCAGCUCUGCAAGUUGAAGAGGCUGUCGAACGCAUGUCAAGGAUCCAAACCGUUCUGGCUGAAGCACCAGCUAAUAUCCGUCGAUUUUUCUCGUUCCGCCACUUCGUCCCAGCGACGGAGUAAGCCAGCAGGCACGUCGAGGGGAUCUAGGAUCAAAGGGCUACAUCCAUUCGCCGGCAGUUUGCUUAUGAUUCAUGUUUGAUGUUAAUUAUUGCAAGUUUGGUAACUUCAAUAUGACUUGUGAUGACUGAGGCGAGCAAAACUGGGAAGUUGUUCGCUUAUCUUUUUUCUACGCCGUGACAUGUGAUGAUUAAAACUGCUAAAUUAGUUACUCAGUUGUGGUAUAUGAUGAUUAAAACUGAUAGAUCGUAACUAUAUGAUGCAUUUCCUAUUUAUUAUAUAAAUAAUUAUUGUUCGAUGCAUGGUUGAUGUUUAUGCAUGUUUUAGUUGUGCAAUUAUUGGGCUACUAAGGUACAACCUGCACUUUUGGUGUUAUUAUUUUUAUCUUGUGAUGUUAAUAUGUGUGGCUUGUGAGGAUUUGUCCUCGUUGCUUAGUGGAUUGUACAGUCUAGUGUGUAUAGAGGACGUGUUUAAAAAAACCGGUAUCAUGCUAAAACAUGAUCGCCAAAAUAAUGAAUCAUUUGUAUUUGGAUCUUUUGCAUACAUCUUUAGAAAGUAGGAUAUCGUCCAGUUUAUGGGCGAGUUUCUUAUAGUGAAUGAUAAUAACGACUGCUGUGUUGUUCUCGCAAGUGUUGGAUUUAAAAAUAAUGGAUCAAACUUUCACAUUCUAUAUUUAGUUUCCAUGUGGACAAAGAAUAAUAUAUAAAAUUUGUGUCGCCUUUGUUGCAUACUUCUAAGUUUGUAUCUUCAUUUAGUAAAAAGGAUGGUGAUAUAGUUUAUUAUUCGGUUCUCUUUGUACCCCCGGAUAAAUGAAUUAGACCAUGUACAACAGAGUAAAAUGAAGUGCUUAGUAAAAUGAAUCAAGUGUUUUGUAAGCACCCGUGCUUAUAUCUAUGGCGGGGGUGCCUAAUUAGACAUAUGCCUUUCACAAAUAAGCACUAAUGUUCAAGUGAAAACUGGUCUAUUUUAUGAGUACCACGAGAAAUAACUUGCAUUGUAUGCUAUCUUAUAAAAGAUAACAAAGAGAUGGUAAUGUAUUUUAGGCUUAGGAGUCAUAAUCUUAUCAGAGUGCGCAUUGACCAUAGUGUAUUUUGGAAAGUCAGUUUGCUUGUCCAUCCUUUUUGCAUUGCGACAUAUGAUGAUUAAAACUACUAGAGUAUAAUUACUUUGCAUUUGGUACAUAUAUAGAUGACCACCAUUAGAUAUAUGCCUUAGUGUUAAUGCUAUUUUAGUUGUAAGAUGGUUGGCUACCAAGUUAGGCCUAGUGAUGUGAUGUUGACUUGUGUGCUGUUUUUUUUAUGUAAGGUGUUUUUCAAUGUUUUACUAAUAGCAUGAAGUGGAUGAUCGUCGAAAUAUAAAUCGUUAAUGUUAAAAGUUAGGUGCAUGGUUCUGUAGUAUGUACAAUGUUGCCUAAUCUAUUAGCAAGUUGCAUGCGGUGAAAUGAAUAUGAUGACUAGUUGGUCCUGUUUCAUAUACCUCUGAACUUUUUUUAGUUCUACAAACGAACUAGUUUUUAGAAAGUGAUGCGAUUUAAAUAAAUGAUACAUUUGAUUCAACUAAAGCGGAUUGGAGGGUACCCCGAGGGUAUCACCAAUUUGAACCACUACAACUAGAUGGUAAAGUUAGUAUCACAAGUCAUAAUUUUUUUUGGGAACGCAACAAGUCAUAAUCUUAGCACAGUGCGCAUUGAUCUUAGAGUGUACUUUCAUAAGUCGUUUGCUUAUCCUUUAUUGUGUUGCAAUAUAUGAUUAUUAAAUUUGCUAGACUACAAUUACUUAAUAUAUUUAGUAACUAUGAGUGUUUGCUGUUAGAUGUAUGGCUUGAUGUUAAUGUUGUUUUAGUUGUGAGAUGGUUGGCCUACUAAGCUAUGUCGUUAUUAUUAUCCUGUGAUGUUAACUAGUGUGAUUAUGUGGUUUUGCCUUGUUGCUUGGUUUGGUCUACAUAUACUACGUAUGAGGGCAUGGUUGUGUGGUUUUGCCUUGUUAAUUGUUUUAUUGUUCAUAGACUACAUAUGAGAGAGUGCUUUCAAAAUUUUACUAGUAUCAUGCAGUAGUUAGAUACCAACGAAUAAAUUGUUAGUAUUAAAAGUUGUUUGCAUUGAUCCAUAGGAUUAGCAUGUUGUUUAAUUUCUUUUGAGGUGUCUAUAGUGAAAUGAACAUGAUGACUAUUUUGUUAUGCCGGUAGAGAAUAUUAAAUUUAAAAAUAAUAGGUCAAUUUGUAGAUUCUUUAUUUAGUUCUAUGGGGAUAGAGACAAAAAAUGGCGCUCAGUAGAUAUUUCUAAAUUUGCAUCCUAAUCUAGUAAAUUUUGUGAUAGUUCACUAUUGGGUUGAUUUUGCGUUACACUGUCAUAUGACAUGCAUACUUAAGAAAAAACAACAAAGGGAUGCAUAUGUUCAAGUGUAUAUGUGGAUUGUCUAGCCCUUUCCACCAGUUUGGACUAUUGGUUGCGUUAGCUAGUUAUGAAGAUUAACAUGAUAUUAGAGCCCAAGGUCUUGAGUUCAAGUCCUGGCUUUCAUAAUUUAUUCAAAAAUUGCUGCCGCCCGUCUUUGUGUUUACGUAUAGGCCUCUUAAGCCAUACCUUCGAGUCGAUUCACGUGUUCACUUACCGCGUUACAUGUGAGAGGGGGUGUUGAAGUGUAUAUGUGGAUUGUCUAGCCUUUUUCACCAGUUUGUACUUUUGGUUGCAUUGUGUAGUGCAUGAAGCUUAAUAGCACGAUACUAUCAUAGUGCACAUUGACCAAAGAGUGUCGAUUUAUUUCUUUAUGCUUGUUGUGUACUAUAUAUUUUAUGUUGGUUUUUAUCAUGAUUGGUAAGUCUCAUGUUAUUGAUGCCUUGUUGUUUUUCCAGGAAAAAAAAGGAAUGCAAUAUUCAAUUACUUUACUAUGUUUUGGAGAUAUAAUUUAAGUUAUUUGAGGAUUGGAGAUAUAAUCUAAGUAACCUGAGGAGAAGAUUACAGUUUACGGGAACAUUGACAUGAUGUAUCAGGCAAGUUUUUUUGUGAGAGAGUUCCCAAAUGUUUGAUAAGCUUGUAAUGCUUCAUGGUUUUUAUUAUCUAAUGAAAUUAGAUUUGUGUAGACUUGUGGUUAUGUCAUCAUUAAUUGGUUAUUCGUACAUAAAAUAUGUAUAAGUGAGGUGUUUCCAAAAUUUAAUAAAGUUUUAUUAAAUGUUUUUGAAUGAUCCAUUAUUUUUAAAAGAAUACAGUUUACGAGAAUAUUAACAUGAUGUAUGAAGCAAUUUUUUUGUGAGAGUUCCCAAAUGUUUGAUAAGCUUGUGAUGCUCCAUGUUUAUUAUUAUCUAAUGAAGUUAGAUCUGUAUGGACAUGUGUGGUUAUGCCAUCAUUGCUUGGUUAUUCGUACAUAAAAUAUGUAUGAGUGAGAUGUCUGCAAAAUUUAAUACAAUUUUACUGUAAUGUUUUUUAAAUAAUUCAUUAUUUUUAAAGACAACUGUAGUGAAUGAAAUGAAUAUAAUGACUAUUUAUUUUACUUAUGUUAAAUAUUAAUAGUAGUUCAAUUUUAUAUCGUUUAUUUAGUUCAAUAAUGUUAGGUUUUUAAACAUUUAUAAAUUUGAAAUAUUUAUUUAGUAAUUGGUAGUUAACUAUUUUGUUCAUUUUGCGUUGUACCACUAGAUGAAAUUCAUGCUUAAGAAAUAUAUGUAGGCAGCCAUAUAAUACUAUCAUAGGGUGCACUAGCCAAAAAGUGUGAUUUUAUCUGUUUUAUGAUUAUUUUGUUUUUUUAAUCAUGAUUAUGGUAUGUCUAUAUAAUGAUGCCUUUUGUUUCUCCAGGAAACACAAUGAAUGUUCACUUAUUCAAUUACUUUAUAGUGUUUGCGAGACAUAACUUAAGUUAUGUGAGGAGGAAUGACCUUAUUGUUUUGUUAAUUAUAUUUAUAUUAUGUAUGAGUGGGGUGUUUUUUUUAUUUCUAAAAUCAGGAUACAGUUAAUUUUAAAGAGUGAGUCGUUAUUAUUAAAAAUGUUUCCAAUGAGUCGUCUAGUCUAUUGGCAAGAUGACUGUAGUGAAUGAAAUGAAUAUGAUGACUCUUUGUUCUAGUUGUAUUAGAUUUAUAAUAAUAGUUCAACUCUUUUAGAUUCUCUAUUUUGUCCAAUGGUUUCAGUUUUAGACAUUCCUACAUUUGCAUCUUUAUUUUGUCAUAAUUUUUGUACUGCACUACUGGGUUCAUUUUUGCGUUAUACCACCAGAUGAAAUGCAUGUUAAGAUAAAGGGAGGCAUAAUCCUAUAUCAUAGUACGCAUUGGCCAUAUGGUGCACUUAAUUAUUUGAUGUGCCUUGUUCUGUAGGAUAUUUAUUUUGCAAUAUUCAAUUACUUAGUUAGUGUUGAAAGGCAUAGCAUAAGUUAUGUGAGGAGGAAGAGUACAACAUGUAAGGGAGCAGUGACAUUAUCAGGUUUUUUUUUUCCUGUUGAGAGUCACCAAGACAUCUGAUAAGGCCUGUGGUGCUCUAGGGUUGACAUUAUCAGUAGCAGCCUAACAAUGUGGAUGGUAACACUGGUUUGGUGUGGGGAUUGUGCAACAAAUGAUAUCAAAUCCAGGUACUAGUAUUUGUAUUGUUAAUUUGAAGGUUAACGAUGUGUUGUUUUUGUUUGUUGGAUAAUAAGCAUUUUUAUUGAUACAUAAAUCUAAACUGCGUGCUUGUCUUAGUUGCCAGUAGAUGUUUAUGUUUCAGGAAUAAUUCAAUUCAGUGUAGGAGAUGAGAACGCGGAGGACCAGCUUCAUCAACUAUCGAAGCUGCUGCUGGUUUAAGGACUGAGAUGCUUAUGUUCACUGAAUUAAUCUUUGUAUUCAGUGAAGAAGAGGGGACGUCAUAGGACUGCUGCUGCUGGUUUAUUGACAUUAGUUAGCUGCUGCGACGCACCGCCAGAGUUGUUGCGUGUGCGUGUGUGCUUGUGUUGAGCCAGUUAUAAAAUAUAGUUGGGGAUCACAGAUCAUAUGAAAUGGAUUUUUACUGGAGGUAUUGAAAUUUAUGAGUUCA